CCUACUAGGAGUAACUAAGAGCAGGUCAGAAGGGUAGGAGAUCAACAGGUCAGUAAAAGAUCCUAAGCUUGCAUGUAACUGUUCUCAGGUUCACUAUUGUACAUUAAACUACCUCUCCAUGAAUUGGUGGCCAGCGAUCUCUGAAGACCUUCAGUUAAGUCCUUUAUGAUUGAAGGAAAUAAUGGACUCCAGGAAAUGGAAAAGAGAAAGGAUGAGAACAUUCCAUGAAAGUAGAGAAUCAGUAACAAGAAAGAAAGAUGAUAGAUGAAGUGUAUAAGAAAGAGCAAGAAGAAGCAUCCUGCAUUUGACGUUUUGCUACCUUAAGACCAGCAUAUUCAGCUGCUGCUGCAACAGCCUGUGCAAAAU